rnacentral:rRNA from 1 species
GACGAACGCUGGCGGCGUGCUUAAUACAUGCAAGUCGAGCGAAGUUGCGAAUCGGGUAACUGAAUCGUAGCUUAGCGGCGGACGGGUGAGUAACGCGUGGGCAAUCUGCCCUCUAGCCUGGGAUAACAGUUCGAAAGGACUGCUAACACCGGAUAAUGUGUUAUCGUGGCAUCACGAAAACAUUAAAGUUUACACUAGAGGAUGAGCCCGCGUCCCAUUAGCUAGUUGGUGAGGUAACGGCCCACCAAGGCGACGAUGGGUAGCCGACCUGAGAGGGUGAACGGCCACACUGGGACUGAGACACGGCCCAGACUCCUACGGGUGGCUG